rnacentral:rRNA from 1 species
UACGGGGGGGAGCAAGCGUUUGUUCGGAUUUACUGGGCGUAAAGGGCGCGUAGGCGGUAGCACAAGUCAGUUGUGAAAUCUCCGGGCUUAACUCGGAAAGGUCAACUGAUACUGUGCGACUAGAGUGCAGAAGGGGCAACUGGAAUUCUCGGUGUAGCGGUGAAAUGCGUAGAUAUGCGGAGGAACACCGAUGGCGAAGGCAAUCCCCCUGGGCCUGCACUGACGCUCAUGCACGAAAGCGUGGGGAGCAACAGG